GGCAAGCGUUAUCCGGAUUUAUUGGGCGUAAAGCGAGCGCAGGCGGUCUUUUAAGUCUAAUGUGAAAGCUUUCGGCUCAACCGAAGAAGUGCAUUGGAAACUGGGAGACUUGAGUGCAGAAGAGGACAGUGGAACUCCAUGUGUAGCGGUGAAAUGCGUAGAUAUAUGGAAGAACACCAGUGGCGAAGGCGGCUGUCUGGUCUGCAACUGACGCUGAGGCUCGAAAGCAUGGGUAGCGAACAGGAUUAGAUACCCUGGUAGUCCAUGCCGUAAACGAUGAUUACUAAGUGUUGGAGGGUUUCCGCCCUUCAGUGCUGCAGCUAACGCAUUAAGUAAUCCGCCUGGGGAGUACGACCGCAAGGUUGAAACUCAAAAGAAUUGACGGGGGCCCGCACAAGCGGUGGAGCAUGUGGUUUAAUUCGAAGCUACGCGAAGAACCUUACCAGGUCUUGACAUCUUCUGACAGUCUAAGAGAUUAGAGGUUCCCUUCGGGGACAGAAUGACAGGUGGUGCAUGGUUGUCGUCAGCUCGUGUCGUGAGAUGUUGGGUUAAGUCCCGCAACGAGCGCAACCCUUAUUACUAGUUGCCAGCAUUAAGUUGGGCACUCUAGUGAGACUGCCGGUGACAAACCGGAGGAAGGUGGGGACGACGUCAAAUCAUCAUGCCCCUUAUGACCUGGGCUACACACGUGCUACAAUGGAUGGUACAACGAGUCGCGAGACCGCGAGGUUAAGCUAAUCUCUUAAAACCAUUCUCAGUUCGGACUGUAGGCUGCAACUCGCCUACACGAAGUCGGAAUCGCUAGUAAUCGCGGAUCAGCAUGCCGCGGUGAAUACGUUCCCGGGCCUUGUACACACCGCCCGUCACACCAUGAGAGUUUGUAACACCCAAAGCCGGUGGGGUAACCUUUUAGGAGCUAGCCGUCUAAGGUGGGACAGAUGAUUAGGGUGAAGUCGUAAGCAAGG
rnacentral:rRNA from 1 species